rnacentral:rRNA from 1 species
GACGAACGCUGGCGGCGUGCCUAAUACAUGCAAGUCGAGCGGACAGAUGGGAGCUUGCUCCCUGAUGUUAGCGGCGGACGGGUGAGUAACACGUGGGUAACCUGCCUGUAAGACUGGGAUAACUCCGGGAAACCGGGGCUAAUACCGGAUGGUUGUUUGAACCGCAUGGUUCAAACAUAAAAGGUGGCUUCGGCUAYCACUUACAGAUGGACCCGCGGCGCAUUAGCUAGUUGGUGAGGUAACGGCUCACCAAGGCAACGAUGCGUAGCCGACCUGAGAGGGUGAUCGGCCACACUGGGACUGAGACACGGCCCAGACUCCUACGGGAGGCAGCAGUAGGGAAUCUUCCGCAAUGGACGAAAGUCUGACGGAGCAACGCCGCGUGAGUGAUGAAGGUUUUCGGAUCGUAAAGCUCUGUUGUUAGGGAAGAACAAGUACCGUUCGAAUAGGGCGGUACCU